rnacentral:rRNA from 1 species
GUGUCAGCAGCCGCGGUAAUACGUAGGUGGCAAGCGUUGUCCGGAAUCAUUGGGCGUAAAGAGCGCGUAGGUGGCUUGUCAGGUCUGAUGUGAAAUCCUGGGGCUCAACUCCAGAACUGCAUCGGAAACCGGCUUGCUAGAGUCUGGGAGAGGAGAGUGGAAUUCCUGGUGUAGCGGUGAAAUGCGUAGAUAUCAGGAGGAACACCGGUAGCGAAGGCGGCUCUCUGGAACAGUACUGACGCUGAGGCGCGAAAGCUAGGGGAGCGAACAGGAUUAGAUACCCCUGUAGUCC